UUUUUUUUUUUUUUUUUUUUUUGAGACAGAGUCUCCCUCUGUCACCCAGGCUGGAGUGCAGUGGUACAAUCUUAGCUCAUUGCAACCUCUGCCACCAGGGUUCAAGCAAUUCUCUUGCCUCAGCCUCCUGAGUAGCUGGGACUACAGGUGCUGACCACCAUGCCAAGCUAAUUUUUGUAUUUUUAGUACAGACAGGGUUUCACCAUGUUGGCCAGGCUGGUCUCAAACUCCUGAUCUCAAGUGAUCUGCCCACCUUGGCCUCCCAAAGUGCUGGGAUUACAGGUGUGAACAGGUGUGAGCCACUGCGCCCAGCCGAGACCAGUUGCCUCAAUUGUCAGUUUCCUCCUCUCUCCCCUUCUCAGGUCUAUCAUGGCAGAAUUUGUCCCAGAACAUAAAACUACAGAACACCCCAGUUUCGGUGUGAGAAAAGAGCCUAGGCAUCUCCUAAUUUAAUGGGCUUCAAAUGGUUUGGCUCAGUUGUCCUAAGCAAUAAAAAUAAUUUGAGUAUGUAACCUCAAUUGAUGUAUAUUUAUUCAUUUAUAAAUGACAUACUUCUGUACCAACAUACUUUAAGACAUAUACAAAAAUUAUAUUUAAAAAGAAAAAUAAAUAAAAUGAUAAUAUUUUCUCCUGUGCCUUAAUGGAUUAGCUUUGUUCCUUUUGGGAUAUGUGAAUCUGUUUUGGAGACAACUUACCUAAUUCAGCCUGAUCUGCUAAUCUCCUCUGUAACUCCCCACCAAGAGGAAAUUCAACCUUUUCAUGAACACUUGGAGGGACACCCAAUCCAUUUUUGGAAACAUCUAGGCGUUUCUUGAUUACCAUGCUCUGGAUGGCCAAAUCGGGGGGUUUUCAUGCAGUAUCACACCUGGACUUCGAGCCACAAGUGAACACUUCUCUGGGCGCCUCACUUCUGGCUCUCCCUGGAUCUCACUGCAACCUGAGUGCCAGAGCUGUGAAGACUGCAGCAAAGUCCUCCAACUGCCACGAAAGCCUCUCCUAAUUCACCAGUUCCAGAAGGCUGCCUGCUUCCCUGGCCACAGGGGUAGGCUUGGCUGUUACCUUCCCAAAUGGAAAAUGAGGGUGUAGAUUUCAUUGCCCAUUACUGCCCACUUCUCCUGAUCUACCUUUGAUGAUACCAGAGUGGAUUACAUUAUUUGGACUGUAUGCUAUCCUGGGCUAUUCCGAGGACAACACUUGAAACGGGAAAGAAUGAUGUGCCUGGGCCCACCAGAGAUUAUGGGAAACCUUGAUGCUGUUUAUCACCUUGAUUCAAAUUUCAUGUUCACAGCCUGAGUCUACAAAGAAGAGAAACAGAAGAGGGAAGCCUGGUGUAAAACUCUUUCAUUCCAUUCUUGUCUGUCUUUAUCUGCUCCAACUGUGAGGGCUGCUUACCCUAGAAGCAGAUCAAUGCAGAGAUGGACACAUUUGCAGCACCUACAAAGGGUGAGAAAAGACAGGGGAUUCCCAGGCACCGGAAGAAUGAGGAAAACAGUGACCUUUGUUCCCAGGCUACAGAAAAAUGCUGUAUCUAAACUGACAUCGGCCGGCUGGAUGGCAUUUAGAAGCCAAAUGAACUGCUGUUAAGCGGCGAGGUCAGGGGUUCAGCUAAUUGUGGAACCACGGGCACUCCCCACAGACCCAGAAAUCUUUGUAAUCUAUGGCUUAGGGACAUACAUUGUGAAGGUGAUUUUUACAGUUCAUCUUUGAAAAUAGAAAGA